rnacentral:rRNA from 1 species
UACGGAGGGUGCGAGCGUUGUCCGGAAUCAUUGGGCGUAAAGGGCGCGUAGGCGGCCUACUAAGUCGGACGUGAAAUCCCUCGGCUCAACCGAGGAACUGCGUCCGAUACUGGCAGGCUGGAAUCCGGGAGAGGGAUGUGGAAUUCCAGGUGUAGCGGUGAAAUGCGUAGAUAUCUGGAGGAACACCGGUGGCGAAGGCGGCAUCCUGGACCGGUAUUGACGCUGAGGCGCGAAAGCUAGGGGAGCAAACGGG